rnacentral:rRNA from 1 species
CAUGCAGGCGGUUUAUCAAGUAGGAUGUGAAAGCCCCGGGCUCAACCUGGGAAUUGCAUUCUAAACUGAUAGACUAGAGUAUUGCAGGGGGAGACGGAAUUCCAGGUGUAGCGGUGGAAUGCGUAGAUAUCUGGAAGAACACCAAAGGCGAAGGCAGUCUCCUGGGCAAAUACUGACGCUCAUAUGCGAAAGCGUGGGUAAGCAAACA